rnacentral:rRNA from 1 species
UACGUAGGGUGCGAGCGUUGUCCGGAAUUACUGGGCGUAAAGAGCUCGUAGGUGGUUUGUCGCGUUGUUCGUGAAAACUCACAACUCAAUUGUGGGCGUGCGGGCGAUACGGGCAGACUGGAGUACUGCAGGGGAGACUGGAAUUCCUGGUGUAGCGGUGGAAUGCGCAGAUAUCAGGAGGAACACCGGUGGCGAAGGCGGGUCUCUGGGCAGUAACUGACGCUGAGGAGCGAAAGCGUGGGGAGCGAGCAGG